CGGAACGUGCCCAGUCGUGGGGGAUAACUACGCGAAAGCGUAGCUAAUACCGCAUACGAUCUACGGAUGAAAGCGGGGGAUCGCAAGACCUCGCGCGAUUGGAGCGGCCGAUGGCAGAUUAGGUAGUUGGUGGGGUAAAGGCUCACCAAGCCGACGAUCUGUAGCUGGUCUGAGAGGACGACCAGCCACACUGGGACUGAGACACGGCCCAGACUCCUACGGGAGGCAGCAGUGGGGAAUUUUGGACAAUGGGCGCAAGCCUGAUCCAGCCAUGCCGCGUGCAGGAUGAAGGCCUUCGGGUUGUAAACUGCUUUUGUACGGAACGAAAAGUCUCUUUCUAAUAAAGAGGGAUCAUGACGGUACCGUAAGAAUAAGCACCGGCUAACUACGUGCCAGCAGCCGCGGUAAUACGUAGGGUGCAAGCGUUAAUCGGAAUUACUGGGCGUAAAGCGUGCGCAGGCGGUGAUGUAAGACAGUUGUGAAAUCCCCGGGCUCAACCUGGGAACUGCAUCUGUGACUGCAUCGCUGGAGUGCGGCAGAGGGGGAUGGAAUUCCGCGU
rnacentral:rRNA from 1 species